CCUUGUUUUUGGUUCUGUAUCCCCACCCUUUGGUUCAUCUUCUUGCCCUCUUUCCUGAUCUUUCGAUCCAACUUUGGCAACAGCGUCCACUGUCAGCAAAGGAGCUUGCUUAUCAACUUUGUCUUCUGCUACCAGGUCUUCACGUUUCUCUGAAGGCUUAGAAGUUUCAUGGUGAACACCUCCUUCAUUUGUAGAAGUUCUAACAGAAUCAUGUUCUUCUGCCUCCUCCCUCUCUUCUCGUUUCAGAUCCUCCCUUGCUUUUGGUUCUGUAUCCCCACCCUUUGGUUCAUCUUCUUGCCCUCUUUCCUGAUCUUUCGAUCCAACUUUGGCAACAGCGUCCACUGUCAGCAAAGGAGCUUGCUUAUCAACUUUGUCUUCUGCUACCAGGUCUUCACGUUUCUCUGAAGGCUUAGAAGUUUCAUGGUGAACACCUCCUUCAUUUGUAGAAGUUCUAACAGAAUCAUGUUCUUCUGCCUCCUCCCUCUCUUCUCGUUUCAGAUCCUCCCUUGCUUUUGGUUCUG
rnacentral:lncRNA from 1 species